CACCAAGGCAUUGCUGCUAUAUACAAUAACCAGAGACACAGAAACAAAGAAUGGGAAAUGCACCAUGGAAAGUCGAGAUUAUUCAGAUAAAGGAGAUGGGGCAAUAUCACAAGGAGGGCCUUCAGGCGGUAGAGGUCGGCCUACAAUAUGUGGGUUACGGACUGUUGAUUGUUGGAAUCGGCGUUGGCUUCGGCCUCGUCAGUGUGGCGUUAGGUCUUACUUUGGGUUUAAGAUCCAAAAAUAGCAAUACAAAGACUUGAGCGUUGACGAAGAAGAUCUUAACGAGUCAGUGUACAUUUUAGCCAAACAUUUUUCGUAUAUUAGUAACCCAGCAAUUGUUGUUGGGGUGAGCGAAGCGAGUUCCUAUACCUAGUCAUCAAUGUUGAAAUUUUGUCUGUCUGUCUGGCCUUGACCUUAUUUUUUACUCAAACUUUUUACCCAUGUUACUAUUUUAUCCAUAAUUUUGCUUUUUAUCACACUGCUUCUCAGUUAUGAAGAGCCA